GCCCCUGUGGCGGAAUGGCAGACGCGGCAGACUCAAAAUCUGUUGCCGGCAACGGCGUGGGAGUUCGAGUCUCCCUGGGGGCACCA
rnacentral:tRNA from 4 species